UCCCGCAUAGCUCAGUCGGUAAAGAAUCUGCCUGCAGUGCAGGAGACCUGGGUUCAAUUCCUGGGUCGGGAA
rnacentral:tRNA from 1 species